AUUGAAACUCCUAUUUAUCCUUUAUCACUUGGGAGACUAUUCAAAACAAGGUGAUGGGCUCAAUCCAAAUAUGAAUAUGCCACUAAAUAAAAAAUUAUUCAGUGGAUAUCCCAAAAUUGUCUGCAAGUACCUCUCACUCUUGAAACUCUAAAAACCUUCCAACAACCACCAGAUAUUAAUACAAGUCUUGCUUCUACAAAGUCAAAAACAAAAUAUAAAAAUUUUCUCCAAAAAUUACUCUUAGAAUUAGAAGAAGGAAAAGAAGGAAAAAAAGACUACGCUAAUCCUUCUAAUUAAAAGAACAAAGAAG
rnacentral:lncRNA from 1 species